GAGGGUAAAGCUCAGGGAUAGAGUGAGUGCAUGCCUAGCAUGCAUGAGGUCCUGGGUUCAAUUCCCAGUACCUCUG
rnacentral:tRNA from 1 species